AUUGAACGCUGGCGGCAGGCUUAACACAUGCAAGUCGAGCGGGGUGAUGGUGCUUGCACUAUCACUUAGCGGCGGACGGGUGAGUAAUGCUUAGGAAUCUGCCUAUUAGUGGGGGACAACAUCUCGAAAGGGAUGCUAAUUCCGCAUACGUCCUACGGGAGAAAGGAGGGGAUCACUUGUGACCUUGCGCUAAUAGAUGCGCCUAAGUCGGAUUAGCUAGUUGGUGGGGUAAAGGCCUACCAAGGCGACGAUCUGUAGCGGGUCUGAGAGGAUGAUCAGCCACACUGAAACUGAGACACGGUCCAGACUCCUACGGGAGGCAGCAGUGGGGAAUUUUGGACAAUGGGGGCAACCCUGAUCCAGCCAUUCCGCGUGAGUGAAGAAGGCCUUCGGGUUGUAAAGCUCUUUCGGCAGGAACGAAACGGCCAUUACUAAUACUAGUGGUCAAUGACGGUACCUGAAGAAGAAGCACCGGCUAACUACGUGCCAGCCGCCGCCGUAA
rnacentral:rRNA from 1 species